rnacentral:rRNA from 1 species
AUUGAACGCUGGCGGCAUGCCUUACACAUGCAAGUCGAACGGUAACAGGUCUUUGGAUGCUGACGAGUGGCGAACGGGUGAGUAAUACAUCGGAACGUGCCUAGUAGUGGGGGAUAACUACUCGAAAGAGUAGCUAAUGCCGCAUGAGAUCUACGGAUGAAAGCAGGGGAUCGCAAGACCUUGUGCUACUAGAGCGGCCGAUGGCAGAUUAGGUAGUUGGUGGGAUAAAAGCUUACCAAGCCGACGAUCUGUAGCUGGUCUGAGAGGACGAUCAGCCACACUGGGACUGAGACACGGCCCAGACUCCUACGGGAGGCAGCAGUGGGGAAUUUUGGACAAUGGGCGAAAGCCUGAUCCAGCAAUGCCGCGUGCAGGAUGAAGGCCUUCGGGUUGUAAACUGCUUUUGUACGGAACGAAAAGCUUCGGGUUAAUACCCUGGAGUCAUGACGGUACCGUAAGAAUAAGCACCGGCUAACUACGUGCCAGCAGCCGCAGUAA